UUCCCAUGGUGUUAUAUACCACCGAGUCUGUGGAGGCUAUGGGAAGAGGCAAAAAAGCAUCACCCUCUUGGGGUAUGGCAGAAGGAACCUAGCGGUGACUGACUUGUAACAUUGAAGGGUCCGUGUGGAUGACACAAAUGUAAAUGAAACAAACACACGUUAGUUUGCACACCAGACCGAAACGUGAGAGUCCUUGUUCCCAGAGAGAAAAGUUGGCUCCCCUUUCACACAGAGCUUCAGAUAACUUGAGCUGUCAACACGGUAUUUAUCUACGAAAUGUGGAGUGACUAGCCACUGGGUCUUUUGAAAAGUCUGACAGCUUCAGAUUUGAGUUCAUUUCACAGAACUCAAAGAAGUCUCCUUCCCACCAAGCCACCUCUCCCACUUCCUUAUUCUGAAGAAAGAACAAAGGCUUCGGGGCCGCUGCAAAAUUCCUGGAAGUAUCACUCAGUGUAAUUCAAGGGAGGCAGGAAGAAAGAGAAGCCCAGCAGGUCCGGUCACAUUACACAGGGGUUGUCACAGCUCACCUGUGCCAGGUGCCUGGAGCACUCAGCAAAUGUGGAGUGCCUUGUAGACCUAUGAGGGCGAUGAGAAAACCGAGGCCAAGAAGAACAUUCUUUUCCCAAGUCAUUCAGCUGGAGAGAAGCCAGAAGGCUUCACUCUGCAGCUCCCUAGUCCAGAUGCUGGAGCUAGUCCAUUUGAGCCUCAAAUCCCUGCUGGUCGCUGACCAGCUGUGAGACCAGGGUAAAGUUACUGAACCUCUCUGAGCCCCAGCUUCUUCAUCUGUGAGAUGCACAGUCACAGUGGUUUCCGUUUCACAUGGCUGAGAAGAACAUAAAAAGAGAUGACUCUGGGGGCACCUGGAUGGUUCAGUCGGUUGAGCGACCGACUUCGGCUCAGGUCAUGAUCUCACCGUCCAUGAGUUCGAGCCCCGUGUCGGGUUGUGUGCUGACAGCUCGGAGCCUGGAGCCUGCUUCUGAUUCUGUGUCUCCCUCUCUCUCUGCCCCUCCCCCACUCAUGCUCUGUCUCUCUCUGUCUCAGAAA